GUUGACUGGGCUCUGCUGGAUGGUUCUUCUGCUCUAUGUGAUGUUGGCUGGGGCUGCAGUCACCUGGGAGUACUACCGUACAGGAAAAUCCAAGCUAUCUCUCUUACGUGUCUGGUACCUUGGCAGUGAUGGCUGGAAGGCUGGACUCAGAUGGGGUACUUGAGCAGCUAGGAUUUUUUCUAUUUCUACAUAGUCUCAAGGCCUCUGUCUUUCCACAUGGCCUCCCCAGCAGAGGAGUUGGACUUCAUACAUGGCAGCACAGAGCUCCCAAAAGUGCAAAAGGGGAGACUUUGAGACUUUUCUAAGGCUUUGGCCUGGAACUGAUAUGCCUCUAUCCCCUCCCACCCUGCUCUGUGCCCUGGAAGGCUGAUCUGAAUAGACAGCAUCAACAGGCUCUGUGACGUCUCUCUUCUUCGGGUUUGCCCAGUGAGAGCUGUGGAUCAGUCACAUGACACGUUUUGGCCAAUGGGAUGUUUGUAGACACCCUGAGCAGAGGACUGGAAUGGAGUUUCCUUGGGUUGGCCUCUUGGCCACUCUCUCCAAAAUGAGAGGCCCAUGAAGCAGACCUGAAUCUGACCCAAAGCCUGAAGCAGAGCAGGCCCAGUCAACUCAGAAGGAAGAAAAACAAAUGUUUGUAGUUUGUAGCCACUGAGGUUUGUGGGUUGUUUGCAUAUACCAUUAUUGCAAUCAGGGAGUGUAAUUACAGGUAUCUCAGGAGACAGGAGACUGGAUGGUAAUGUCAAGGUAUGUAUGAAGGGUCACAGGGCUGCUGGGUCCUUUCUUCAAAGCCACAGCUUCUCCUCUCCAUGUCUCUCCACACCUCUCUCUCUCCAGGUUCCAAUGACUACUCAAGUGCUCCCUAGGACACCCUGCUGUUGCCUCAAUAGAAUCUCUUUAUUAGAUUAUACUUGAAUUACCCAGUUUGAGAGUGUUUUGUUUCCUGCCUAAACUCUGAAUGACAAAAAAAAAAAUCCUCAUAAUCAUCUUGUUAUAUAGGUACUAUUAUCCCAUUUUACUAACAACAAAAUUGAAAAUCAGAGAGGUUAAGUAACUUGUACAAGGUCACGCAGCUAGUAAGUGGCAGAAUUGAGAUUUGAACCCAGGCAGGCUGGAAUCAUGCUCACUUCACUAUGCCUCUGUGGAUCCAUCCUGUUAUAAUUCCUUUUUCCAGCUCCCUAUGGCUAGACAUUUAGGUGGUAUAUAUAAGCCUGUUAUGACAAACAUUGUUUUGUUUGCCUGUUUUUCCAUUAUAAAUGCUUCUGCAAUGAGAAAUCUCUGUAUAAAUAUUUGCUCAUAUUCAGGGUUAGGAAAUAUUCUAAAAAUGAAAUAGUUGGAUUAAAGAAUAUGAAUGUCUCUGUUCCCUAACCCAUUUUCUUUCUUUUAAAAAUUAUUUCCUUCUGACUAUAAAAUUGAUCAGGUACAAUUAAAAAAUUCAAGCAUUACAGAAGUAAAUAUCAUAGGACACAAACAUCCCUGUAAUUCUAUAGCCUCAAAAAAACCAUUGACCAAGAUUUGGAAAGUUCUCCUUAGUAGCAAUUAAUAGUAAUUGUUAUUUCUUUUUGUGUGUUUUGAGACAGGAUCUCACUCUGUCACCCAGGCUGGAGUGCAGUGGUGCAAUUGCAGCUCCCUACAGCUUCUACCUCUGGGUUCAAGUGAUCCUCCCACCUCAGCUUUCCAAGUAGCUGGAACAACAGGCCCCCACCACCAUGCCCUGCUAAUUUUUGUAUUUGUUGUAGAGACAGGGUUUUGACAUGUUGCCCAGGCUGGAGUAAUUGUUAAUUUUCAUUAUUAAAAAAUGAGUAAAUGUGUACUGUAGAAAUGCAU